GGGGAUUUAGCUCAGUGGUUCCAGCGCGUGCCUUGCAAGCACAAGGUCCCAAGUUCAAUCCCCA
rfam:Heterocephalus glaber contig121391, whole genome shotgun sequence.